GAGCGCCGUAGCAAUACGGAGCGGCAGACGGGAGAGUAACACGUGGGAACGUGCCCUUCAGUUCGGAACAACCCAGGGAAACUUGGGCUAAUACCGGAUACGUCCGUAAGGAGAAAGAUUUAUCGCUGAAGGAUCGGCCCGCGUCUGAUUAGCUAGUUGGCGGGGUAACGGCCCACCAAGGCGAUGAUCGGUAGCCGGCCUGAGAGGGCGCACGGCCACACUGGAACUGAAACACGGUCCAGACUCCUACGGGAGGCAGCAGUGGGGAAUUUUGCGCAAUGGGGGAAACCCUGACGCAGCAACGCCGCGUGGAGGAUGAAGUCCCUUGGGACGUAAACUCCUUUCGACCGGGACGAUAAUGACGGUACCGGUGGAAGAAGCCCCGGCUAACUUCGUG
rnacentral:rRNA from 1 species